UUCUAGGACAACAGUUGGUAAUGAUGGAGAGACAGACGGCAGGAAUAAAGGUCAUGUUGGUUCAGCAGGAAGUCCUCUGGUGUUUAAUUAAGGUCAUGUUGGUUCAGCAGGAAGUCCUCUGGUGUUUAAUUAAGGUCAUGUUGGUUCAGCAGGAAGUCCUCUGGUGUUUAAUAAACGUCAUGUUGGUACAGCA